ACUGUUCAUUCUCUGUGCCUAUUAGAGCUCUUUAUUUUGACUCCUCCCACAAUCUGCUUUCUGAUUGGCAGAUACCCACAUUGUGAACUUUGGCCUGAGUCUGCAGACGCUGUUAUAUCAAUAUAAUGGUGCGCAUUUGACAUGUGAUUAUAUCUUUUUUCAUUGUUAUUCGAAUCAUUGUUUUGUAACAUCUUACGGCAUACCUAUGUAUUAGUUUUGUUUUCUCUUUUAACUAUGUACAAAUUUACCAGAAAUAUUUAUUUAUAAUGCUGAAGAGUAAUUCAUUUUCAUUCUUUUUUUUAUUUUUAUACGUUUUGAACCUUUUUUUUUAAGAAGGAAAAAAAUCCCUCUAUCCGAGAGACGCAGGGUUUUUUUCCCCAUAGGUGAGUUCAAGACCACGAUCUGUGAGCGAUUCAGCAGUCGGGACCCGCAAACACACGUGAUCUCAUACAGGCACUGUCCUGGGAGGUGUCCACACGUCAUCUCAUGUUCCCAGCAUGGAGAGGAGUACAUUCAAAUGACAUUGUAUUUAUUAAAUAUUGUUUUAACAUAAACUUGACUCCUCCUG
rnacentral:lncRNA from 1 species